GAUGAAGAACGUAGUGAAAUGCGAUAAGUAGUGUGAAUUGCAGAAUUCAGUGAAUCAUCGAGUCUUUGAACGCACAUUGCGCCCGCCAGUAUUCUGGCGGGCAUGCCUGUUCGAGCGUCAUUUCAACCAUCAAGCCCUGCUUGUGUUGGGGUCCUGCGGCUGCCCGCAGGCCCUGAAAACCAGUGGCGGGCUCGCUAGUCACACCGAGCGCAGUAAUACAUCUCGCUUUGGUCGUGCGGCGGGUUCUUGCCGUUAAACACCCCCCUUUCCAAAGGUUGACCUCGGAUCAGGUAGGAAUACCCGCUGAACUUAAGCAUAUCAAUAAGCGGAGGA
rnacentral:misc_RNA from 1 species